AACGCACCUUGCGCCCCUUGGCAUUCCGAGGGGCACACCCGUUUGAGUGUCGUGAAAUCUUCAAAAACCCUCUCUUUUGAGGUUUUUUGGACUUGGAGGUUCAAUGCUCGCUUUCUUCUUUUAGGAAGCGAGCUCCUCUCAAAUGAAUCAGUGGGGUUUGCUUUGCCGGUCCUUGACGUGAUAAGAUGUUUCUGCGUUUUGGAUUCGACAUCGUCCCGCUCCCAAUCGUCCCACGGACAAAAGGAUGGUGCUCCGGUCGCGGGUCAUCGCUCGCGGCUGGACCCACGAAAAAAACCUUGACCUCAAAUCGGGUGAGACUACCCGCUGAACUUAA
rnacentral:misc_RNA from 1 species